UCCCUCUUACUGGGCCUCCCAGUUCCCCCAGUCCCACCUUACCGGGUCUCCCAGUUGCCCUGUUACUGGGAUUCCCAGUUACCCCAUUACUGGGGCUCCCAGUUCCCCCAGUCCCCUCUUACUGGGGCUCCCAGUUCCCCCAGUUCCCAUGUUACUGGGGCUCCCAGUUGCCCUCUUACUGGGAUUCCCAGUUACUGUGCUACUGGGCCUCCCAGUAACCCCAGUUCCCUCUUACUGGGGCUCCCAGUUCCCCCAGUCCUCUCUUACUGGGUCUCCCAGUUGCCCUCUUACUGGGAUUCCCAGUUACUGUGUUACUGGGCCUCCCAGUAACCCCAUUGCCCUCUUACUGGGGCUCCCAGUUCCCCCAGU